UUCUGCCACCUUGAGGUCAUAAUAAUAAUAUUGCAACUACAUUUCGGUUGAGACGUAUUAACUGUGCGCACAGUAGAGACUUUGAAGACGGUGUGCUUUUAGCACGGAAGACGGAGGGCUUUUGGAAAUAUUGAAAUGCCAUGUUUCUAUGCGUUUUGAGGUUUCUACCAUCGGAGCUGAAGACUGACACGUUAAAAAUGUGAUCUGACGGUAACCAGGCGACCGCUUUCUGCAUCAAUACCCAUAUUUCCGUACUAAUACCAACUAUCUCUCUCAAUGUUCGGGACGACUCGUGCUGAAAUCUCCUAACAUGAAGCAUCGCAUGGUAGAUUGAAUUGGUCGUAGAAUGGAGGUUCCUGCCGUAAACCACAGCUAUACACAUCCACAGCCAUGGGCCGGACAGAGUCCCAGGACCCCAACCAUACCUCCACCCAGCUGUCCAUUUCCUUCAUAUCACUAUCCAAACCUGAACCCAGAUCAGCAGAGUGUGACCCCCAUGACCCAAACGACAGGAACCGCAGCAGGCCAUCGGCCUCAGUCACUGCAAAGCUACCAAGGAGUGUUCAAGCCUGUUCCUGAGAUUACAAAUAAGACGAAUCAAGGAAUGCCACAGAGAAGCUACUCAUUACCAACGAGUCCAGUGUCAAAUUCUAAGACAGAGUCUCGAUACGGCCUGGAUCCUCAGCUUCUGCCCAGUGUGGUCCAGGUGAUUAAAGAGGACAGGAUCCAGUGGGAGGGGAAAGUGUUUGUUUCAGAAUGCAAAUCUUCAGUUCCCCUUCUUCCUGGGCAGAGUUCUACAGGAAAUGUCACUUUUCAACCCUGAGUCGGAUGGAUCCGGCUCACAAGAGCUUUCUGUUUCUGCAGGGCUGAAGAUUCUUCAGGCAAGAGCCUUAAUAUGAGUCUUAAACAUGCACAUGCCCUUGGAUAGUGCUACUA
rnacentral:lncRNA from 1 species